GUUAUAGGUACCUUGGUUGGCGAGUUAGUUAGGUACCUUGGUUGGCUAGCUAGUUAUAGGUACCAUGGUUGGCUAGCUAGUUAUAGGUACCAUGGUUGGCUAGCUAGUUAUAGGUACCAUGGUUGGCUAGCUAGUUAUAGGUACCUUGGUUGGCUAGCUAGUUAGGUACCAUGGUUGGCUAGCUAGUUAUAGGUACCUUGGUUGGCGAGUUAGUUAGGUACCAUGGUUGGCUGGCUAGUAAGUUAGGUACCUUGGUUGGCUAGUUGGCUACAUUAGCUAAGGUUGGCUAGUUAGUUAUGUACCUUGGUUGGCUAGUUAGUUAUGUACCUUGGUUGGCUAGUAAGUUAGGUACCUUGGUUGGCUAGUUAGUUAGGUACCUUGGUACCUUGGUUGGCUAGUUAGUUAGGUACCUUGGUUGGUUGGCUAGUUAGGUUACUUUAACGACCCAGGAUCCCAGACCGUCUGUUGAGGCACCCAGACCAUCUGGUGAGGGGCACCCAGGACCCCAGACCGUCCGGUGAGGGGCACCCAGGAUCCCAGACCCUGUUACCACAAAGCCCUGACUCUUGCACAUCCAUCCCUGUAGCCAUUUUGAAUUAAUUGAUGCCCCUCCCUCUUUGUCAUCAGUCCCCCACUUUAUAGACAGUUUUUUUUUUCCAGGAAACUUUUAAUUAAUAACUUGGGAUUUUACCACUUGACAUAUCAAUCAUAAUAGUGGGAAGGAGCCUACAGAUCCAGACUGUGUGAGGGCAUGUACCACUCAGAAUAAAUAAAUACUGUGCCUUUUGAA